GAUGAACGCUGGCGGCGUGCUUAACACAUGCAAGUCGAACGAAGCACUUUAACCUGAUUCUUCGGAUGAAGGUUUUUGUGACUGCGUGGCGGACGGGUGAGUAACGCGUGGGUAACCUGCCUCAUACCGGGGGAUAACUGUUAGAAAUGACUGCUAAUACCGCCUAAGACCACAGAGCCGCCUGGCUCGGUGGGACAAACUCCGGUGGUAUGAGCUGGACCGCGUCUGAUUAGGUAGUUGGUGGGGGAACGGCCUACCAAGGCAAGGAUCAGUAGACGACCAGAGAGAGUGAGCCGACACAUUGAGAGGGAGACACAGCGCAAACUCCUACGGGAGGGAGCAAUGGGGAAUAGUGCACAACGGGGGAAGCGCUGAAGCAGCGACGCCGCGUGAGCGAAGAAGUAUUGCGGGAUGAAAAGCACUAUCAGCAGGGAAGAAAAUGACGGUACCUGACGAAGAAGCACCGGCUAAAUACGUG
rnacentral:rRNA from 1 species